GUGGGGAAUAUUGGACAAUGGGCGAAAGCCUGAUCCAGCCAUGCCGCGUGUGUGAAGAAGGUCUUCGGAUUGUAAAGCACUUUAAGUUGGGAGGAAGGGUAGUAACUUAAUACGUUGCUACUUUGACGUUACCGACAGAAUAAGCACCGGCUAACUUCGUGCCAGCAGCCGCGGUAAUACGAAGGGUGCAAGCGUUAAUCGGAAUUACUGGGCGUAAAGUGCGCGUAGGUGGUUCAGUAAGUUGGAAGUGAAAUCCCCGGGCUCAACCUGGGAACUGCUUUCAAAACUGCUGAGCUAGAGUACGGUAGAGGGUGGUGGAAUUUCCUGUGUAGCGGUGAAAUGCGUAGAUAUAGGAAGGAACACCAGUGGCGAAGGCGACCACCUGGACUGAUACUGACACUGAGGUGCGAAAGCGUGGGGAGCAAACAGGAUUAGAUACCCCAGUAGUCC
rnacentral:rRNA from 1 species